ACUGAUACAGGGCUCUUUUGGGUCUUGUAAUUGGAAUGAGUACAAUUUAAACCUUUUAACGAGGAACAAUUGGAGGGCAAGUCUGGUGCCAGCAGCCGCGGUAAUUCCAGCUCCAAUAGCGUAUAUUAAAGUUGUUGCAGUUAAAAAGCUCGUAGUUGAAACUUGGGCCUGGCUGGCAGUCCGCCUCACCGGCGUGUAC
rnacentral:rRNA from 1 species